GUGCAGCCGCCGCGGUAAUACCGGCAGCCCGAGUGAUGGCCGAUCUUAUUGGGCCUAAAGCGUCCGUAGCUGGCUGCGCAAGUCCGUCGGGAAAUCCACUCGCCCAACGAGUGGGCGUCCGACGGAAACUGCACAGCUUGGGACCGGAAGGCUCGAAGGGUACGUUCGGGGUAGGAGUGAAAUCCCGUAAUCCCGGACGGACUACCGAUGGCGAAAGCACUCUGAGAAGACGGCUUCGACAGUGAGGGACGAAAGCUCGGGUCUCAAACCGGAUUAGAAACCCCGGUAGUCC
rnacentral:rRNA from 1 species